UACGUAGGGGGCAAGCGUUGUCCGGAUUUAUUGGGCGUAAAGCGCUCGCAGGUGGUCCGAUGCGUCGUGCGUGAAAGACCCCGGCUCAACUGGGGGGUGUCGUGGACUGCACCGCUUGAGGGCGGUAGGGGCUGGUGGAAUGCCUGGUGUAGUGGUGAAAUGCGUAGAGAUCAGGCGGAACACCCGUGGCGAAGGCGGCCAGCUGGGCCGUCCCUGACGCUGAGGCGCGAAGGCGUGGGGAGCGAACGG
rnacentral:rRNA from 1 species